GACAGAGGGUGCAAACGUUGUUCGGAAUUACUGGGCGUAAAGCGCGUGUAGGCUGCUUGGAAAGUCGGGUGUGAAAGCCCUGAACUCAACUCAGGAAGUGCACUCGAAACUUCCGAGCUCGAGUCCUGGAGAGGGUGGCGGAAUUCUCGGUGUAGAGGUGAAAUUCGUAGAUAUCGAGAGGAACACCGGUGGCGAAGGCGGCUACCUGGACAGUGACUGACGCUGAGACGCGAAAGCGUGGGGAGCAAACAGG
rnacentral:rRNA from 1 species